AGAGUGAACGCUGGCGGCAGGCCUAACACAUGCAAGUCGAACGGCAGCACAGGGGAGCUUGCUCCCCGGGUGGCGAGUGGCGGACGGGCGAGGAAUACAUGGGAAUCUGCCCAAUCGUGGGGGAUAACGUAGGGAAACUUACGCUAAUACCGCAUACGACCUUAGGGUGAAAGCGGCGGACCGCAAGGCGUCGCGCGAUUGGAUGAGCCCAUGUCGGAUUAGCUUGUUGGCGGGUAAAGGCCCACCAAGGCGACGAUCCGUAGCUGGUCUGAGAGGAUGAUCAGCCACACUGGAACUGAGACACGGUCCAGACUCCUACGGGAGGCAGCAGUGGGGAAUAUUGGACAAUGGGCGCAAGCCUGAUCCAGCCAUGCCGCGUGGGUGAAGAAGGCCUGGUUGUAAAGCCUUUGUCCGGAAAGAAAGCUUCGGCUAAGUACCCCGGGUCCUCGACGGUACCGGAAGAAUAAGACACCGGCUAACUUCGCGCCAGCAGCCGCGUAA
rnacentral:rRNA from 1 species